rnacentral:rRNA from 1 species
ACAGACGAGGAGCUUGCUCCUCUGACGUUAGCGGCGGACGGGUGAGUAACACGUGGAUAACCUACCUAUAAGACUGGGAUAACUUCGGGAAACCGGAGCUAAUACCGGAUAAUAUAUUGAACCGCAUGGUUCAAUAGUGAAAGACGGUUUUGCUGUCACUUAUAGAUGGAUCCGCGCCGCAUUAGCUAGUUGGUAAGGUAACGGCUUACCAAGGCGACGAUGCGUAGCCGACCUGAGAGGGUGAUCGGCCACACUGGAACUGAGACACGGUCCAGACUCCUACGGGAGGCAGCAGUAGGGAAUCUUCCGCAAUGGGCGAAAGCCUGACGGAGCAACGCCGCGUGAGUGAUGAAGGUCUUCGGAUCGUAAAACUCUGUUAUUAGGGAAGAACAAAUGUGUAAGUAACUAUGCACGUCUUGACGGUACCUAAUCAGAAAGCCACGGCUAACUACGUGCCAGCAGCCGCGGUAAUACGUAGGUGGCAAGCGUUAUCCGGAAUUAUUGGGCGUAAAGCGCGCGUAGGCGGUUUUUUAAGUCUGAUGUGAAAGCCCACGGCUCAACCGUGGAGGGUCAUUGGAAACUGGAAAACUUGAGUGCAGAAGAGGAAAGUGGAAUUCCAUGUGUAGCGGUGAAAUGCGCAGAGAUAUGGAGGAACACCAGUGGCGAAGGCGACUUUCUGGUCUGUAACUGACGCUGAUGUGCGAAAGCGUGGGGAUCAAACAGGAUUAG